GACGAACCGUGCGAACGUUAUUCGGAAUCACUGGGCUUAAAGCGCGUGUAGGCGGAUGGGAACGUCGGUAGUUGAAAGCCCCCGGCUCAACCGGGGAAGUGGUGCCGAAACGACCCGUCUGGAGGGACGUAGGGGACCUGGAACUUCCGGUGGAGCGGUGAAAUGCGUUGAGAUCGGAAGGAACGCCCGUGGCGAAAGCGAGGUCCUGGACGUCUACUGACGCUGAGACGCGAAAAGCUAGGGGAGCAACGGG
rnacentral:rRNA from 1 species